GCCGGGCAUGGUGGCUCAUGCCUGUAAUCCCAGCACUUUAAGAGGCUGAGGUGGGAGGAUCACCUGAGGUCAGGAGUUCGAGACCAGCCUGGCCAAUAUGGUGAAACCCAUCUCUU
rnacentral:sRNA from 1 species